GGAGGCGUGGCUGAGCGGUCUAAAGCAACACACUGCUAAUGUGUUGGCCGGGAAACUGGCCCGAAGGUUCGAAUCCUUCCGCCUCCGCCA
rnacentral:tRNA from 1 species